rnacentral:piRNA from 1 species
UAUUUGGGGUUUCCUAACCGA